GGGCCUGGGCCCGCACUUCCUGUUUGCACUGGGCCUGGGCCCGCAGGCUCACCUGCAGGGGGUGCUGUCAGUUCAGACCAAGGUUGCUAAAUCCGAGGGGGUGCUAGGAGCAUCUUCACUAAAAUCACCUUCCCCUACCUCCGCUGCCCAUCCUGCUCCUUCCCUUCCUCUGCAUCUCACAGGUUGGAAAGGUUGUGAGUGAGAUUACAAGUCCAGUAGGGACUGACGUGGAAGUGGCAGGGGAAUCCACCAGGCCUGGCAGGCGGGCGCAGGACAGUUUGCAUCUGAAACCACUUUACUGCGUAGGCUGAACAGGAGGCAAAAGCCCAUUUUCUGCUGAAAUUACCAAAAAAAGUCAUCACAUGAUGCUUCUGUGAACAGGUGAAAUGUAUAUAACACUGCAAACAAGAUGGUGAAGGACUGGGUUGUUGGACAUCUUCUCCAUUAACUGCACCAGGAUCACAAAGUCAAAUGACUUUAGGGGCCAGCGAGAGAAUGAAACUGUGACCAGCCAAUUGAUGAGAUGUGGCCUGCUGCAUUCGGUUACGGAACAUUGAUAUGGAGAUGUGGGGUCCAGCUUUGGAAAUCUGCUUCUUUCUGCCACACAUUCAUCACAGAUGGUCUUACUGUCCUUGCCCACCACUACUGGCCCUGAAAUUGCAAGACCAUUUGGACUUGGGGCUAUGGCAAGUUCUCCUUGCAUUUUAGCCUUGAAAGGAGAUUUAUCAAUAUUUAUUUUGGCCACCUGAUGCGAAGAGCUGACUCAUUUGAAAAGACC